GCCUAUUUCAGACUGUUCUGGUGUUUGUU
rnacentral:piRNA from 1 species